rnacentral:rRNA from 1 species
AGAAUCAACGCUGGCGGCGUGCCUAACACAUGCAAGUCGAACGAGAAAGGGGAGCAAUCCCUGAGUAAAGUGGCGACCGGGUGAGUAACACGUGACUAACCUACCCUCGAGUGUGGAAUAACAUCGGGAAACCGAUGCUAAUACCGCAUAACAUCGGCGCUUUUAAGAGAUGCCGAUCAAAGGAGCAAUCCGCUUGAGGAGGGGGUCGCGGCUGAUUAGCUAGUUGGCGGGGUAACGGCCCACCAAGGCGAAGAUCGGUAGCCGGCCUGAGAGGGCGCACGGCCACACUGGAACUGAAACACGGUCCAGACUCCUACGGAGGCAGCAGUGGGGAAUUUUGCGCAAUGGGGGAAACCCUGACGCAGCAACGCCGCGUGGAGGAUGAAGCCCUUGGGGCGUAAACUCCUUUCGACCAAGACGAUAAUGACGGUACUGGUGGAAGAAGCACCGGCUAACUCUGCGCCAGCAGCCGC